rnacentral:rRNA from 1 species
ACGGGUGAGGAAUGCGUCGGAAUCUGCCUCUUUGUGGGGGAUAACGUAGGGAAACUUACGCUAAUACCGCAUACGACCUACGGGUGAAAGUGGGGGACCGCAAGGCCUCACGCAGAGAGAUGAGCCGACGCCGGAUUAGCUAGUUGGCGGGGUAAAGGCCCACCAAGGCGACGAUCCGUAGCUGGUCUGAGAGGAUGAUCAGCCACACUGGAACUGAGACACGGUCCAGACUCCUACGGGAGGCAGCAGUGGGGAAUAUUGGACAAUGGGCGCAAGCCUGAUCCAGCCAUGCCGCGUGUGUGAAGAAGGCCUUCGGGUUGUAAAGCACUUUUGUCCGGAAAGAAAAGCAUUCGGUUAAUAACCGGGUGUCAUGACGGUACCGGAAGAAUAAGCACCGGCUAACUUCGUGCCAGCAGCCGCGGUAAUACGAAGGGUGCAAGCGUUACUCGGAAUUACUGGGCGUAAAGCGUGCGUAGGUGGUUCGUUAAGUCUGAUGUGAAAGCCCUGGGCUCAACCUGGGAAUGGCAUUGGAUACUGGCGACCUAGAGUGCGGUAGAGGGGUGUGGAAUUCCCGGUGUAG